UACCAGCUCUCCGAGUUGUAGGAACGAUUAUUGGGCUUAAAGCGCCCGUAGCCGGCUUAGCAAGUCUCCUGUUAAAUUCAGCGACCCAAUCGUUGAGCCGCGGGAGAUACUACUAGGCUAGGAGGCGGGAGAGGUCGACGGUACUUUCGGGGUAGGGGUGAAAUCCUAUAAUCCCGGGAGGACCGCCAGUGGCGAAGGCUGUCGACUAGAACGCGCUCGACGGUGAGGGACGAAAGCUGGGGGAGCGAACCGGGAUUAGAUACCCGGGUAGUCCCAGCUGUAAACGAUGCGGGCUAGGUGUUGGGGUGGCUACGGGCCACUUCGGUGCCGCAGGAAAGCCAUUAAGCCCGCCGCCUGGGGAGUACGGCCGCAAGGCUGAAACUUAAUGGAAUUGGCGGGGGAGCACCGACAAGGCGUGAAGCUUGCGGUUC
rnacentral:rRNA from 1 species